AAUCCUGUCUGAAUCCGGCGGGCCCAUCCGCCAAGGCUAAAUACUCGUAAGAGACCGAUAGCGAACCAGUACCGUGAGGGAAAGGUGAAAAGCACCUCUGUCAGAGGAGUGAAAAAGUUCCUGAAACCGUACGCCUACAAGCGGUCGGAGCAUCUUUAUGAUGUGACGGCGUGCCUUUUGCAUAAUGAACCUACGAGUUGCCGUCGUCGGCAAGGUUAAGCGCAAUGAUGCGCGCAACCGAAGCGAAAGCGAGUCUGAAUAGGGCGCAUAGUCGGCGGUGGCAGACGCGAAACCAAGUGAUCUACCCUUGUCCAGGUUGAAGUCCCGGUAACACGGGAUGGAGGACCGAACCGAUAAGCGUUGAAAAGCUUCCGGAUGAGGUGAGGGUAGGAGUGAAAGGCCAAUCAAACUUGGAGAUAGCUCGUACUCCCCGAAAUGCAUUUAGGUGCAGCCUCGGGCGUUCCCUGUGUGAGGUAGAGCGACUGAUUGGAUGCGAGGGCUUCACCGCCUAUCAAGUCCAGACAAACUCCGAAUGCACACAGGCUAAGCCCGGGAGUGAGGGCGUGGGUGCUAAGGUCCACGCCCGAGAGGAGAAGAAUCCUGAUCACCGGCUAAGGCCCCGAAAUCCGGGCUAAGUUAAACUAACGAAGUGUGGUCCCCGUGACAGCUAGGAUGUUGGCUUGGAAGCAGCCAUUCAUUCAAAGAGUGCGUAACAGCUCACUAGUCGAGGGACUGUGCAUGGAUAAUAAUCGGGUAUGAAGCCCGGUGCCGAAGCCGUGGGAUGUCAAAUGACAUCGGUAGGGGAGCAUUCAUGCGGCCUUGAAGCCCAAGGGACGACCUUGGGUGGAGCUUCAUGAAAAGCAAAUGUAGGUAUAAGUAACGAUAAAGAGUGUGAGAUGCACUCUCGCCGAAAGACUAAGGUUUCCGGGGCAACGUUAAUCGUCCCCGGGUCAGUCGGGACCUAAGGCUCAUCCUAAUGGAGAGGCCGAUGGCAGAAACGGUUAAUAUUCCGUUACUAUCCCUUGGGGCGAUGUGGAGACGGAGAAGUGACACUUCCGCGGGCUGACGGAAUAGCCCGUUAAAGAUCGUAGGCGUUGACGAGGGCAGGCAAAUCCACCCUCAGAGCUGAAAGUCGACAGUAUGCAGCGUCUUCGGACAAUGCAAUAGCGAAGGUAAGCAUACUCCCGAGAAAAUCCGCUAAGCUUAACCCAUUGGAUACCCGUACCGCAAACGGACACACGUAGUCGGGUAGAAUAUACUAAGGCGCUUGGAAGAUUCAUGGUUAAGGAACUAGGCAAAUUGACCCCGUACGUUCGCAAUAAGGGGUCCUCGUCGCAAGGCGAGGCGCAGAGAAUAGGUCCAGGCAACUGUUUAACAAAAACACAGGGCUGUGCAAAAUCGAAAGAUGAAGUAUACAGUCUGACACCUGCCCGGUGCCGGAAGGUUAAGAGGAGAGCUCAGAGGCAACUCGAAGGUUUGAAUUGAAGCCCCGGUAAACGGCGGCCGUAACUAUAACGGUCCUAAGGUAGCGAAAUUCCUUGUCGGGUAAGUUCCGACCUGCACGAAUGGUGUAAU
rnacentral:rRNA from 1 species